UACGGAGGAGGCAAGCGUUAUCCGGAAUUAUUGGGCGUAAAGCGUCCGUAGGUGGUUGGCCAAGUCUGCUGUCAAAGGGUGGGGCUUAACCUCAUAAAGGCAGUGGAAACUGGCGAGCUAGAGAGCGGUAGGGGAAGGGGGAAUUCCCAGUGUAGCGGUGAAAUGCGUAGAGAUUGGGAAGAACAUCGGUGGCGAAAGCGCCCUGCUGGGCCUGCACUGACACUGAGGGAAGAAAGCUAGGGGAGCGAAAGGG
rnacentral:rRNA from 1 species